UUUGUCCUACGGUGUUCAGCGGUCAGUAAACGCACCACAGUGCGGGACGUUUUUUCGGUUGAACAAUUCAUAGAUCUCUGAGCGUUAUUGCGCCUCAUACAUCAUAUCACCAGGUUGAUACUGUGCGUGAAUGCAUGAAGGGUCGGGUCGCAGGGGCAGUGCCCCAAGGAGGGAUACCAGCAACUUCCCGGCGGAUCCCGAGGUGUUCCCAGGCCAGUUGGGAGACAUAGUCUCUCCAACGUGUCCUGAGUCUUCCCCGAGUCCUUCUACCGGUUAGACGUGCCGUAUAAACAACUAACCAGAUGCCCAAGCCACCUCAUCUGGAGGAGUAGCGGUUCUACUCCGAGUCUGUCCCGGAUGACAGUCCUUAUCUGUGUCUUGAGCCCUGAGCGACAGGUACGGGCGUGAGCACUAACAAGCCCAGCCAGUUAAGGAGGGGACGACGUGUGGGGUGGAGCACUCGUACUUGUUUGUACAACCGUGACGAAUAAAGGUUGCUUGGUAUUUCUUUGUUUCUUUUUUUGUGUUUUUGUUCUGAGAGAUGAGCAAGCAAAUUAGCUGUCUGACUUACAUGUACUGUAAGCGAGGUGAUAAAGGGGGGGAAAAAAAGGAUGACAUGGCAACCGGGGGCCGAGGUGCAACCGGUGCAUAGCGACAUGUCCUGCGGGAACCAGAGCAGAUCUCAUGAUUAAGAAAGCAGGAAGAUGCACCAACAUACAGUACAUUGGUGACACAGACAGAUACUUAACACAAGCUUAAAUAAGCAUACGUUUCCAUAAUA